rnacentral:rRNA from 1 species
UACGGGGGGGGCAAGCGUUGUUCGGAAUUACUGGGCGUAAAGGGCUCGUAGGUGGCCAACUAAGUCAGACGUGAAAUCCCUCGGCUUAACCGGGGAACUGCGUCUGAUACUGGAUGGCUUGAGUUUGGGAGAGGAAUGCGGAAUUCCAGGUGUAGCGGUGAAAUGCGUAGAUAUCUGGAGGAACACCGGUGGCGAAGGCGGCAUUCUGGACCAAUACUGACGCUCAUGUGCGAAAGCGUGGGGAGCAAACAGG